GGGGGUGUAGCUCAGCCCGGCAGAGCGCUUCCCUCGCACGGAAGAAGUCAGGGGUUCAAAUCCCCUCACCUCCACCA
rnacentral:tRNA from 3 species